GAGGGCAAGUCUGGUGCCAGCAGCCGCGGUAAUUCCAGCUCCAAUAGCGUAUAUUAAAGUUGUUGCAGUUAAAAAGCUCGUAGUUGAAUUUCGGGGUUCUACCGUUGGUCGGGCUUUGUCUGUACUGGUGUGUAGAAUUUCUACCUUCUGGGGAACCAUCAUGCUAUUAAUUUAGCGUGGUGGGAAACCAGGACCUUUACCUUGAAAAAAUUAGUGUGUUCAAAGCAGGCUUAUGUCUGAAUACAUUAGCGUGGAAUAAUAGAAUAGGACGGUGGUCCUGUUUUGUUGGUUUCUGAAUCACCGUAAUGAUUAAUAGGGAUAGUUGGGGGCAUUAGUAUUCAAUUGUCAGAGGUGAAAUUCUUGGAUUUAUUGAAGACUAACUUCUGCGAAAGCAUUUGCCAAGGAUGUUUUCAUUAAUCAAGAACGAAAGUUAGGGGAUCGAAGACGAUCAGAUACCGUCGUAGUCUUAACCAUAAACUAUGCCGACUAGGGAUCGGACGAUGUUAAUUUUUCUUGACUCGUUCGGCGCCUUACGGGAAAC
rnacentral:rRNA from 1 species